CUGCUGCCUCCCGUAGGAGUCUGGUCCGUGUCUCAGUACCAGUGUGGGGGACCUUCCUCUCAGAACCCCUACGCAUCGUCGCCUCGGUGGGCCGUUACCCCGCCGACUAGCUAAUGCGACGCAUGGCCAUCCUAUGCCGGAGUCGCCUCCUUUGACCCCAAGAAGAUGUCUCCUAAAGGUGUUAUGCGGUAUUAGACGGAACUUUCUUCCGCUUAUCCCCCUGCAUAGGGCAGGUUCCAUACGUGUUACUCACCCGUGCGCCGGUCG
rnacentral:rRNA from 1 species